UAGAAGAAGAGUGUUGUCGUAGCAACCUGAAGCUUAUGGCGAAGGAUAACUGUCCACAGCUUUUGAAGAUAAGUAUAACAGAUGCAUAGAGGCGUUACAUUUAGCUUCUGCUUUGUCAUCUGUUAGAAACAAACUUCAAUGUCGGUGGUAAACAGUCAGGUGCCAGCCCGUUUCUUAACUCUCGUCGCGCACCUUGUAAUAGUAAUCAUCAUAUUCUGGUCCCGGGAGAACAGUGUCAGAGCCUGCCUACCACUGGACUACACUAAUGAAGAAUACAGGUUAGAGGACACACGCUAUUGGAUGUCACGCCAGUGGCUCUGUGGCUUUGCUCUUCUUCUUGUUUGAGCAAUGGACCUGCAGCAUCUACUGGUGGAUCUUUGGCUUCUGUAGUGUGAUUCCAGCACUAUAUGAGAUGGUCCUUUUUGUUGUAGUGUUUGUAUUUAAGAGGAAGCCUCUAUGAGCGUCUCUGCCCUCUUGGUUCAGGCAAGUUGGAUAUUGUCCUUCCAUGACUGACGUACCAGAAUAUCCUGAAACCAGAGUAAUAUUCACUGGCACAAAUAAAUUGGUCUUUUCCAUGAAGCUUCUCUGGAGGGUUUUUAGAUUGCUCAAUUAUGUUUGAAGACUUUUUGAUGGUUUUAUGUGGUUAAAAAUUAUUUCUUGAAAAUAUCAUAUUUUGUACACAUUGUGAUGAAUUAAAGUAUUUUGCAUUUUGAUACAACU